rnacentral:tRNA from 1 species
AAGGAUUUAAGUUAAAUAAACUAGUAACCUUCAAAGUUACCAUUAAAGAAGUUCCCCUUUAAGCCUUA